CACACACACACAGUCACCGAGGUCAACGCCGGUCUCUCUUUGGAGCUGUUUGUUACUUUUCCCUCGAGCAGUUGCACCAGCCAGCUGCUGGGGACACGCAGAGUGUCCGAGUACAUCUUUGACAGGUCGGGCAGGACAGAAGCAGAGCCCUGGAUCCACAGGUGACUCCUGGCAGUAAUGGGAGUGUUCGUGGAAGAACUCGCUCCUGAAGGCCCGUGAGAGGACACACAAAAGCCUUUUAGACCAGGUCAGGACAUGUCGGGGAACAGUUGAUGAACAUGAGACGCAUAUAACAACCAGCUUCCCACACACCGUGUAGACAUCUUUGUUUUAUAUCUUAUAGUUUGACCAGGACAUGCGUGUGAUCUGUGACAGUAGCAGCUGCUUUUUAAUGCUUCACGUCUCUGUAAUAUAAACAUGUAAAUAAAGUAUUAAUGAAA
ensembl:lncRNA